UAGACACAGGCCUGCCUUGGCUGCUGUGGAGAAAGUAAAGAAACACCAAACAUUGCUAAUAGUUAUUGUGAAAUUCCACCUUCUUCUCCCUGUGCUUCUCCUUUCUAAAACUGCUGCAGGUCUGGCAGGUGAGAUGGGUGAUUAGAGGGGUGGUGUCAGCCACUGCUAAUUACGCUGUGGAUCAAAUCCUUUAAGCCUGUGUGCUUCCACUAAUGUCUGUGCUCAUCUGUGUCAGCUGAGGUAGGUCAAGAGUGGAGGAUUGUGUUGCAGGAGGGAUUGGUGACGUGUUGGACAGGUAGGGUAAGAAGGAGAGGAAAAGGUUUGUUGGGUUUUUUGGGGGUUUUAGUGCUUUAAGAGGAAUGUCUCAAGUUUGGUGUGGUGCCCAUGGGAAGUUGUCUUUCGUAUUUACUAGAGGACUUACUAGGAAUGCCUCUGUCUUGUUCCAGUGUGUGCAUUAGCAUGCCAUUCAUGUGCUGCCUUCCUGGGAGUCACAGAGGAGGAAAUGCAUCAAUCUUCUGUGGCCUGGGUCUUGUGCUCUGCAGAUCAGAGCAACCUUUGUGGAGAGCCAGAUGCUGCCUGUGAGCUGAGCUUGCCAGGGGAGAAUAAAUCUCCCACCUACACCACUCCAGAGAGCGCGACCAAGCCUGCGAGGAGACAGCACCGGCACAAAACCUGAGGGAUGCAGAUGCAGCCCUGAGGGUGCAAUGUCAGGGCUGCUGGUGUUUGCCUGAAGGCUGACUCAGACUGAGCUGAUGCCCAGGUGAAAGAGCUCAUGUAUCCACUUCAGGUGUUCAUCUGCCAUGGGAAAUGAUGUCCUGGGCUCAUCAGUGGUGUUUGGAGAAGACAACCUCCUUCCCAGCAGUGCACACAGCACAUCCUGGUGUUGACAGCUGCUCUGUGUAUCUCUGCUUCUGCACCACGGGAGGAAAAUCAGAUUCCCUGAAGACAGGGCUGGCCAAGGGCAGCAUGGAGGCCUCGACUGCACCAAAAGCAGCUUCUGUGGUGUCUCCACCCAGCUCCCAUGCAGCACCUGCACCCCUGGCAGCACUGCUUGGGGCUGCAGGCCAGUCAGGGUAAUGGCUGGGAGGAUGUGGAGGUCUCUUUGCAGCACCUGUUCUAUGUUUCAAAGUGAGCAGGCUGCCAAGGAGCAUUGCUGGGAGUGGGGUAUGUGUGUGAGUGACUGGGCUGGCUGCUCUGCUUUCUUCACACUGAGCAGCUCCAAGCCAGAGAUGACAAACCCAAGAGCCAGGUGUCCCCCAGGAUGUGCCACCAUAUUAUUUAUUAGGGACCCUGUGAUGCUGCAGUAAAUUUAAAGGCAGCCCCAUCUCUGCAGGAUGCCUCCCUUGUAUCAGAGAACCCUCUUCCUCCUUCUCCUCCUAGGAUUAAGUUAAGGGUGAUGAGGAUGAGAUGGUUUUGCUCUCAUUUUUGAAAUGUUUACCAGUAAAGUUUUGCCCAGUUCUUUGUUA